rnacentral:rRNA from 1 species
UACGUAGGUGGCAAGCGUUGUCCGGAAUCACUGGGCUUAAAGCGCGUGUAGGCGGGACGGCACGUCUGUCGCUGAAAUCCCCCGGCUUAACCGGGGAACUGGCGGAGAUACGACCGUCCUGGAGGGGCGUAGGGGGACCUGGAACUUCCGGUGGAGCGGUGAAAUGCGUUGAGAUCGGAAGGAACGCCCGUGGCGAAAGCGAGGUCCUGGACGCCUACUGACGCUGAGACGCGAAAAGCCAGGGGGAGCGAACGGG